CUGCAGAAGUGUGCAUCUAACUGCAGGGUUGAGCCGAGAAAGACGUGUUGUGUGGAAGUUCUCUGGUUUUCGAAACGGUCAGCUGAGCAGAAGUCGGAAAGUAUGCAAAGGAAGCACCUGUUGUUGUGUUUCUUAGUAGUUGUGGACGCCGCCAUGAGAAAUACUCGUCGCCGAUCAUGCGAGGGACUGGAAACGCCAUGCCCGCCUAACCAACGACCUAAUUGUCUGAUAAAAAAUAACGGGGCUCGCUACUUCGAAUGCUCCUUGAAGGACAGACCUUGUGAAUACUCGUGGUCUAUUAUUUGCGCAAAUUUUAUUUCCAUAGUUUGCGCUACUAGCCGGACCUACUGUGAUUGCCGUUGU
rnacentral:lncRNA from 1 species